GAUGAACGCUGGCGGCGUGCCUAAUACAUGCAAGUCGAGCGAACAGAUAAGGAGCUUGCUCCUUUGACGUUAGCGGCGGACGGGUGAGUAACACGUGGGUAACCUACCUAUAAGACUGGGAUAACUUCGGGAAACCGGAGCUAAUACCGGAUAAUAUUUCGAACCGCAUGGUUCGAUAGUGGAAGAUGGUUUUGCUAUCACUUAUAGAUGGACCCGCGCCGUAUUAGCUAGUUGGUAAGGUAACGGCUUACCAAGGCGACGAUACGUAGCCGACCUGAGAGGGUGAUCGGCCACACUGGAACUGAGACACGGCCCAGACUCCUACGGGAGGCAGCAGUAGGGAAUCUUCCGCAAUGGGCGAAAGCCUGACGGAGCAACGCCGCGUGAGUGAUGAAGGUCUUCGGAUCGUAAAACUCUGUUAUUAGGGAAGAACAUACGUGUAAGUAACUGUGCACGUCUUGACGGUACCUAAUCAGAAAGCCACGGCUAACUACGUG
rnacentral:rRNA from 1 species